AAGUCGUAACAAGGUUUCCGUAGGUGAACCUGCGGAAGGAUCAUUAUCGUGUAAUAUAUCCAGUCAUGCUGCUGCGUGAGCUGUAUAAACCCACCCUGUGUACGCUGUCCUGUUGCUUCCGCCGUGCGCCUAAGGGCGCCCGGCGGAGGUUAAGUAAUAAACCCCGUGUUUUACUACGUAACCCGUCUGAAUGAAUAGGAACGAUGAAAUGUUAAAACUUUCAGCAACGGAUCUCUUGGUUCUCGCAUCGAUGAAGAACGCAGCGAAAUGCGAUAAGUAGUGUGAAUUGCAGAAUCUAGUGAAUCAUCGAAUCUUUGAACGCACAUUGCGCCUUCUGGUAUUCCGGGAGGCAUGCCUGUUCGAGAGUCAUUGACAACCGCUUCGAAGCCCCCCUUUCUCCACGUUCUCGAGGGGUCGGGGGGGGAUUCGUUUGUUGGUGGCGGAGGGAUGAGUUGCCUUGGCCUGCCCGCUAUGCCUGGCAAAUCUCCUCCCCACUGAAAUUCGGCGAUGGGCUUUCAUUUUAUAGGUGGUGGGAUUGAAGGCGAUAUAAAUGCUCCCCGGCCCCCCGGGUAGAUUGUGCCAAUCCCCUCAACUUCCGAGGUUCAGAGGCGGUCCUGUGUUAAUUGACCCACAUCAGGAUGGAUGACGUCUUCGUUUACGGCGAUGUGCGGAGGGUCUCCCCCAUCCUGGAGCCCCCAUGUACCCGUAACGAUUGGGUUAGCCGACAUGUUGCUUAUAGCUAUACUUCUGGCUUGUAGCAAUUCGGGACCACAGGACACUGGCCAGAGCUGAUCAGGAAGAACCUUGCGCCCCUGCCAUGUUAUUUUAAAUCAAAGGUUGACCUCGGAUCAGGUAGGGAUACCCGCUGAACUUAA
rnacentral:rRNA from 1 species